CCUCGAGAUUUUCCAAAUGCAAGGAGGUUCCUCCCUAACCCCUGGCCUUUCCCAUUGAGAGUCAUUGAUCCAGUCCUCACUCAACUUAUAAAAAGACCGCCUGCACGAUAUUAUGAAUUUCUCAACCUGUUACCUUAACCCCAUCCGACUCCUUGCAAAGUAGUAACUAUUAUGAAAGGGAAACUAGUUGUGGUUCUCAAACUUGAACAUGCAUCAGAAUCACUUGGAGGGCUUGUUAAUUCCCAGAACCAUGGAGCUCACCUCUAUAGUUUCUAAUUUUGUAGAUCAGAGGACAGGGCAGGAGAAUCUGCAUUUCUAUCAGGUUCUCAGGUGGUACUGAUGUGGUUAGUCUGAGCCCAGUCGCAAGUCUAUACUUUGAGAAGCCUAGGCACAGAGGAAGGUCAGUGGGCAGAGAACUAUCUCAAGGGACUAUCCACAACCCAACCUGGCUGGUUCAGAGCCUCUGUCCAGCAGCCAGAGCUGCCAGGCUUGAACGACUCACUCAUUCUAACACAAUUCACAAAAGAUUUUUUUUUUUUUGAAACAGGGUCUUGCUCUGUCACUCAGGCUGGAGUACAGUAGCAUGAUCAUGGCUCAGUGCAGCCUCGACCUCCCAGACUCAGGCGAUCCUCCCACCCCAGCUUCCCAAGUAGCUGGGACUAUAGGAGUGUGCCACCAUGCCCGGCUAACGUUAACUUUUUUUUUUUUUUCCUUUUUUUUAGAAAUGGAGUCUCUCUACGUUGCCCAGGCUGCUGGUCUCAAACUCUCGGGCUCAAGCAAUCCUUCCCCUUCAGCCUCCUGAAGUGCUGGGAUUAUAGGCGUGAACUACCAUGCCUGGCUCACAAGAAAUGUUCUGGUAAGUGCCUAUUUAUGCACUUACAUCAAACUUGUUAUUGCCACAGGGACCUGGUCAUCACAUUCUCCCUCUAGGGCCACUUUAUGUGGGAAGCCACAUCCUGAGAAGAGCCACUGCCAGCUUGUGGCAUUCAUGCCCACCCAUGUCACCACAGGGGUGAUGUCAGAGCCUGAGACUGGACAAAUGCCAGCUCCCUGGUUACUCUCCCGCCAGGUUCCAUGCAGCGAGUCUGUCCUCUGUGGAUACAGUCUUCCCUCUGAUUAUCCAGAGCAUUCAGCAGGCCACAGUUUUCCUUCCUCACAGAUGGCCUCCAGCCUUCUUGCCUGGAUUUGAGUCAUCUGUCAGCCACAAGUUUACAGAACUGCCCCUCAGAGGUGGAGAAACUUUUUUGUUUUUGUUUUUUGUUUUUAAGAGACAGGGAUUUGCUCUGUUGCCCAGGUUGGAGUGCAGUGGUGCGAGAAAGCUCACUGCAGCCUCAAAAGUCCUGGGCUCAAGCCAUCCUCCUGCCUCAGCCUCCUGAGUAGCUGGGACUACAGGUGCCUGCCACCGCAUCUGACUAAUUUUUAAAUUUUUUGUAGGGACAGGGUCUUGCUGUGUCAUGUAGACUGGUCUCAAACUCCUGUUCUUGGCCUCACUCUCCCAAAAGUGCUAGGAUUACAGGCAUGAGCCAUGGCACCUGGCCGAAAUAAGGAUUUUUAAAUAAUCCCUUCAUUCAUCCUUUUAACAUUCAGUAAGCAUUCAUGAAGUGCCACUUACAUGGCAGGCCCUGUUCUGGGCUCUGGAAAAGGGUAGUGAACAAAAUGAAGAUUCUUACCCUUAGGGAAUUUAUGCUGUGGUGAGAGGAAACAGACAAGCAGAUAAAUGCACAGUGUGUCAGUGGUAACAGGUGGUAUGGCACUGCAGGGAAGGGGACAGGGAAUAUGGCCUUUACAACUUCGAAUAGAGCUGUUUUAGAGAGUAGGGUAGUCAGCUCUGUCUCUGAAUCGCUGUAUGACCUUUGACGAGUCUUAUAUGACCUCGGGCAAAUCUCCUAAUCUGGUAGCACAGCUUCUUAUUUGCAAGAUGGUGAUAAUGUUUUAUGAGGAUGAACAGAUUAUAUAACACAAAGUAAUGGUCAUAAAAUAAGGGUUCGGCAUAUUUAUUUAUUUGAUAAAUAUUUACUGUAUGUCUACUGAAACUGUUCCAAAUGCUUAACUCAUUGAACUAUGCAUUACUUUCUUCCUCACCUUCCAGAAUGAAUCUCUUCUAGUUAGAUGAAUUGAUCUAUUAUGUGUUGAUUCAGGGUUUCAGCAUCAUCUCCAGGUUCUUGAGGCUUUUUCUGAGGCACCUCAGUAGAGAAAGUUUGCUUACUCUCUCCUUCCUCUCCUCUGUCUCGGGUCCCUUCAUUGCUUUUCCGAGCUUGUCUGCAUCCAAACACCAACAGCAGCGGUGGGAGCAUUUUCAUGCACAGGCCCAAGAAACAUGAAGAGGACACUUAGCAUGCGCCAGGCUCUGGGGUAGGCUCAAAGCGAAGGAAGCCGAGUCCUUAUCCCUGUGGAACAUACAUGAAGGGAAGGACAGGAAAUGAAUGUCAACAAAUAUAUUACCAAAAUAAACUGAGAAUCAUAAGUGCUACGCAGAAGAAGAAGAAAGCAAAUAGCCGAGAGUCUCUGGUGGCUAAGGUACUUCACUAGGUGAAGUGGACAGAGAAUUAUUAUCUGACCAUUGAACUAAGAUGUAAAUAAGGAAAAGCAAGCCAUGUGGAAUGUUCCAGGAAAGGAGCACUCCAGGCAGUGGGAACAUCAUGUGCAAAGGCCCUGAGGUAGGAGCAGCUUGGCAUACUCCAGGAACAAAGUGAAGGCCAGAGAAGCCAUAGCAAGAUGAGGGAGAGGAGCAAGGGCUGGAGAUGAUGUGGGAGAGCUAUGCAGGGGCCAGAUAAAGUGGGACAUGGGAAGGAAGUUUGGGUUUUUCUCCAAGCCUUUGUUACUCCUAAUGCGGUCCAGGAGCAGCAGCAACUGUAUGGCCUGGGAGCUUAUUAGAAACGCAGUCUUGAGCCCAACCCCAGAUAACUGAAUCACAAACUGCAUCUUAGCAAAAUUCCCACAUGACCCAAAAAUAGAUUAAAUUUUUAGAAACACGGUACUCUAAGAAAGUCACGUUCUUUUCAGGUGGAGAGUUUUAAAGAUCCCUCAGGCUGCCACAUGGAGAGCCAAUGGUAGGGAGGCAAGGGCACAGCCAUGGCUCUGGUUUUGAGACAGCUGCGGUGGCCCAGGCCAGGUGGGGAGCAGGAACCGGGUGAGAGUGGAGGAGAGGGAGGAAAUAGAGGGGAUAGAGGACAUGUUUUGGAGACAGAGUCAACAGGACAAGCAGAUGGAUUUAAUGUCGAAGGAGGAAAAGAAGAAUUCCGGCCAUCCUGACCGUGUAGCCUCCACUCCUCCAAAGACGCCAAAGGGCACUUUGGGAAGAGCCCUAUCCUGCAGCCAGGUGUAACCACACCCUCAGGUGCCAAACCCACUCUCCCCUACCCACCCCUGCCCCGCCACUCCUAGCAUCAUCUCAGGACUCAGUAGGUUUCUGUUAGAGCCUGAAGCUCUAGAGUUUAUGGUUCGUGGAUUUCACCUUCAGUUAAAUCAGUCAAGAAAUGCACGGAGCCACCCUGGAGAUAUACAUUCUUUUUAUUGUUAUGAUGUACACCUGUGCACAUUCAUUCAUUCAUUCAACAAAUAUCUACUGAACCCCCAAUAUGUGCUCAGCACUGUGCCCAACUCUAGGGAUACGGCAGUAAACAGUAGAUUGUGUUCUAGUUUAUAGAAGAACUUUCCAUCUAUUUCAGCUCACAGUAAACUGUGUUGUCUUCCUAAGGCUAGAAAGGGUGCUUAAGGUGGGUGCUUUCUCCCAGCUAGAAAACACCAUGGGUUCCUUGUUGGCCUCAGAGUGAAGUAUGAAUUCUUGAACCAGGGCUACAAGGUCCUGUGUUCCCGGGCCCUGCUGAUGUCUCCAAGCUUAUCUGCUACCCAAGGCUGUUUUGAGUGAAUGUCCCGGUUUGAAGAAUCGAUGAAAAUAAAAAGCCUCUCUCUAGAAAAAAAAAAAAAGACACCCACAACUGAGAUCAAAUGUCUGGGGGUUUGUGGACCAUCUCCUUGAGGCUGUUCAUGAACCCCAGGCCUAUAGACAAUCUUGUCUCUGCCUUUAACUCAACAAUCUUGGUCACACCAUGGAGUUUCAUGUCAUGAUGUCUUUGCUCAGGCUAUCACUUCUGCCUGCAGUCCUUCCUCUCCAGCUCCAUAUGUAAAUUUCUACUAAUCCUGGAAGUCUAACUCACAUGCACCCCACCUCUUCUCCCAUAACAGGAGUAAUCUCUCUAACUUCCAUGUUCCCUUAAAACUUUGCACAACGACUUAUGUUUUAUUAUUUCCCUACCUGAUUCUUUCCCUAUCUGGAUAGUGAGUCUCCUUGGACUCAGAUAGACCCAAUAUGACCUUGGCAAAUUUUUCAGCUCUCUGAGUUUUAUUUCCUCAUUUGUAAAAAUGAGCGUAAUAAUCCUCCCCCCAUUACUUGAGCCCAGGAGUUCGAGACAACGCUGGACAACAUGGUGAGACCCUGUCUCUACAAAAUAAAAAUGAAAAUAAAUAAAAAAUAAUCCCUCCCCUCAGGGUGGCUGAGAGAGGUAAAGAAAAUAAAGCAAAUAGGACUGGCAUGCAGUAGUGCUUAACACAUGUUUGAAUAAACAAAUGAGGGAGGGAAUGCAGUUUACAGGAGAAGAAACCAGGCCUUCUGUCUAGAGAUCUGACUCCCGUGUGCCCGUCCUAGAAGACACAUUACUACCACCUGUGCAGUGCAGUCAGAACCAGGCUGUGGAUCAGGCUGUAAGGAGAAACAAAGUUGAAAAAUGGCCUGAUUUGGCCUAAAACUGAAGCCACCCAAGUUGUUGUGGGCUCUAGCUCCCCCUCCAUGCCAUGCUUCAUCAGAGCCUCCAAUCCUCUUUCAGUAUCACCUUUUUCACUGUCACCCACUCAUGUGCUUGCUUCCCUUCUAACCCCGAGUAGAUCCCACGCUCCACCAUGACUGUCACUCCCCGGCUGAAACCCUCAAUAAACCUGCCCCUCUCUGUCCAUCACGUAAACCUGGCUAAGUCCCAACUCUUCCAAAACCUAACCCUCACCUUCUUCAGGCCGGUGCCAGAGCAGCUGCAGGUGCUGGAGAAAAGCGCACAGCACUGUUGACGGGUUGCUCUUUAAAUUCAUGAUCCAGCCAGGUGCACGGCUCACGCCUGUAAUUCCAGCACUUUGGGAGGCCAAGGAGGGCGGAUCACCUGAGGUCAGGAGUUCAAGACCAGCCUGACCAACAUGGAGAAACCCCGUUUCUACUAAAAAUACAAAAAUUAGCUGGGCAUGGUAGCAGACGUCUGUAAUCCCAGCUACUGAGGAGGCUGAGACAGGGGAAUCUCUUAAACCCGGGAGGCAGAGGCUGCAGUGAGCUGAGAUUGUGCCACUGCUCUCCAGCCUGGGCAACAAGAGCGAGACUCUGUCUCAAAAAAUAAUAAUAACAAAAUAAAAAUAAAUAAGUAAAUUUGUGACCACAAACCUCAAAUUGGCAUUCCUCAUACCUGGCAAUCCCACCAACCUUUCCUAGAAAGUUUUCCAGUUCCCUGAGAUGGCUGUUUCAUACUGUCUUCUAUCUGCACAAACUCCCCUGCACUCCUCAGCUGAUGGGCAUGGCUCGCCCUCCUUUGAGAAACUCAAAGCCCUCAGGCCAGAUCUAUCAACCCUCCUGCCCCUGCGCCCAGGCUUCCUGCCUUUCCUCCUGCAACCGCCGAAGAGGCAUCCUGCUGGAGUCUAAGGCAAUGUCUAUCUGCUGGGACUGUGGAUCCCAGGCCCUCGAGCAGGCUCAAGGCCUUUGAUCCAGUGAGUAUCCUGCUUUUCUCUGCAUCAUCAUUUUCUCCCUUUCUG
rnacentral:lncRNA from 10 species